UCCCUGUUGGCAUAGAUGGUAAAGCAUCUGCCUGCAAUGUGGGAGGCCUGGGUUCAAUCCCUGGGUUGGGAA
rnacentral:tRNA from 1 species